GAAUUGCUAGUAAUCGCGAAUCAGAAUGUCGCGGUGAAUACGUUCCCGGGCCUUGUACACACCGCCCGUCACACCAUGAGAGUCGAUAACACCCGAAGCCUGUGAGCUAACCGUAAGGAGGCAGCAGUCGAAGGUGGGGUUGAUGAUUGGGGUGAAGUCGUAACAAGGUACC
rnacentral:rRNA from 1 species